CCUACGGGCGGCAGCAGUGGGGAAUAUUGCACAAUGGGCGAGACACUGAUGCAGCGAAGCCGCGUGAGCGAUGAAGGAUUUGGGUAUGUAAAGCUCUAUCAGCAGGGAAGAAAAUGACGGUACCUGACUACGAAGCCGCGGCUAACUACGUACAAGCAGGCGCGGUAAUACGUAGGGGGCAAGCGUUAUCCGGAUUUACUGGGUGUAAAGGGAGCGUAGACGGUCCUGCAAGCCAGAUGUGAAAGCCCGGGGCUCAACCCCGGGACUGCAUUUGGAACUGUAAGGCUAGAGUGGCGGAGAGGCAGGCGGAAUUCCUAGUGUAGCGGUGAAAUGCGUAGAUAUUAGGAGGAACACCAGUGGCGAAGGCGGCCUGCUGGACGAUGACUGACGUUGAGGCUCGAAAGCGUGGGGAGCAAACAGGAUUAGAUACCCGUGUAGUC
rnacentral:rRNA from 1 species